rnacentral:rRNA from 1 species
UACGUAGGGGGCGAGCGUUGUCCGGAGUUACUGGGCGUAAAGCGCUUGUAGGCGGUCCACUAAGUUUGGGGUGACAGUUGCCGACUUAAUCGGCAAAGUGCCUCAAAGACUGGCGGACUUGAGGGCCACAGAGGGACAUGGAACUCCAGGUGUAGUGGUGAAAUGCGUAGAGAUCGGGAGGAACACCCGUGGCGAAGGCGGUGGCCUGGACCUGUGCUGACGCUGAGGCGCGAAAGCGUGGGGAGCGAUCCGG